rnacentral:rRNA from 1 species
ACCCUCCGGGCCCUCCCGCGAGAAAUCAGGAGUAUUCGGGUUCCGGGGGGGAGUAUGGUCGCAAGGCCGAAACUUAAAGGAAUUGACGGAAGGGCACCACCAGGAGUGGAAUCUGCGGCUUAAUUUGACUCAACGCGGGAAAACUCACCAGGUCAGGACACGGUAAGGAUUGACGGACUGAAGGCUCCUUCUCGAUUCCGUGGAAAGUGGUGCAUGGCCGUUUUUGGUUGGUGGAUCGAUCCGUCUGGUUAAUUCCGUUAACGAACGAGACCUCGGCACUCCGAAUAGCGCGGCGGACGUCGCGGCCUCCGGGCCGUCUUCCGCACGAGCUUCUUAGAGGGACCGUCCCCCGCCGGGGAAGGAGGUGCGAGGCAACGACAGGUCUGUGAUGCCCUUAGAUGUUCUGGGCCGCACGCGCAUUACACUGACGCGUCCAACGGGUGACUCCCGACCCGAAGGGGCCGGGGAAUCCGCAAGGCGCGUCGUGAUGGGGAUUGAACGUUGCAAUUGUUGUUCACGAACGAG